GGGUUGUGAGGUUAAGCGACUAAGCGUACACGGUGGAUGCCCUGGCAGUCAGAGGCGAUGAAGGGCGUGCUAAUCUGCGAUAAGCGCCGGUAAGGUGAUAUGAACCGUUAUAACCGGCGAUACCCGAAUGGGGAAACCCAGUGUGAUUCGUUACACUAUCAUUAACUGAAUCCAUAGGUUAAUGAGGCGAACCGGGGGAACUGAAACAUCUAAGUACCCCGAGGAAAAGAAAUCAACCGAGAUUCCCCCAGUAGCGGCGAGCGAACGGGGAGGAGCCCAGAGCCUGAAUCAGCAUGUGUGUUAGUGGAAGCGUCUGGAAAGGCGCGCGAUACAGGGUGACAGCCCCGUACACAAAAGCGUAUGUGCUGUGAGCUCGAUGAGUAGGGCGGGACACGUGGUAUCCUGUCUGAAUAUGGGGGGACCAUCCUCCAAGGCUAAAUACUCCUGACUGACCGAUAGUGAACCAGUACCGUGAGGGAAAGGCGAAAAGAACCCCGGCGAGGGGAGUGAAAAAGAACCUGAAACCGUGUACGUACAAGCAGUGGGAGCACCCUUUGG
rnacentral:rRNA from 1 species